rnacentral:rRNA from 1 species
UACGAAGGGAGCUAGCGUUGUUCGGAAUCACUGGGCGUAAAGCGCACGUAGGCGGAUGUGUCAGUCAGGGGUGAAAUCCCGGAGCUCAACUUCGGAACUGCCUUUGAUACAGCACGUCUUGAGUCCGGAAGAGGUGGGUGGAAUUCCUAAUGUAGAGGUGAAAUUCGUAGAUAUUAGGAAGAACACCGGUGGCGAAGGCGGCCCACUGGUCCGGUACUGACGCUGAGGUGCGAAAGCGUGGGGAGCAAACAGG